GGUGGCGUGGUGUGAUGGAGUGGUUAAUAAUGUAAGCUGUGGACCAGGAAGUUGCUUGUUCAAAUCCAACUUUAGCCAUAGAUAUAUGACUCAAAAGCCCUGCAGAAGUUAUUCACUGCACAAGUCAUAAGGAAGCCAAAAUGUGGAAUUCUUAAGAGUCCUGUGCAUGCCAUCCCCACAUCUGCCAAGAAGGCCCACUCAUUCCUCAAAAGCACUUGAGGACAGGAAGAGCCCGGGAAGAUUAACACGGCUGAGCAUUUGCCUUUGGUAAU